CAAGCAAAUUCCACAAAAAGACUGUUUCAAAUCUGCUCUGUCUAAAGGAAGGUUGAACUCUGUGAGUUGCAUACACACAACAAAAAGAAGUUACUCAGAAAUCUUCUGUCUAGCAUAAUAUGAAGAAAUCCCGUUUCCAACGAAGGCUUUAAAGAGGUCCGAAUAUCCACUGGCAGGCUUCACAAACAGAGUGUUUCGUAACUGCUCUAUGAAAAGAAAGGUUAAACUCUGUGAGUUGAACGCACACAUCACAAAACAGUUUCUGAUAAUCAUUCCGUCUAGUUUUUAUACGAAGAUAUUUCCUUUUCUACC
rnacentral:lncRNA from 1 species